GGAUGCAUAACUGGGCAACUUAACUUUGGCAAUUUGUUACUCUCGUCCUGUCUGCUCGGUUGUUAGACAGGAAUCAGUAGUAAUCUUACUGCCAAAGGAGAUUUGCCCAGCAAUUCAUCU
rnacentral:pre_miRNA from 1 species